UGAAUACGAGAUGCUACGGCGUCGAAGCAGUGUAUGUCAGACUUCCAAGAAAAGCUCGCAAUGUCAUAAAUAAAGAAUGCCUGUACCAUAACCGACACAGGUGGGUAGGUAGAGUUUACUAAGGGGCGCGAGAUAACUCUCUCUAAGGAACUCGGCAAAAUAACUCCGUAACUUCGGGAGAAGGAGUGCCUUCUUUAAGAAGGUUGCAAUAACAAGAUCCAAGCAACUGUUUAUCAAAAACACAGGUCUCCGCUAAGUCGUAAGACGAUGUAUGGGGGCUGACGCCUGCCCAGUGCCAGAAGGUUAAAGAAGUUGGUUAGCUUUUGCGAAGCUGAUGACUGAAGCCCUGGUGAACGGCGGCCGUAACAAUAACGGUCCUAAGGUAGCGAAAUUCCUUGUCGGGUAAGUUCCGACCCGCACGAAAGGCGUAAUGAUUUGGAUACUGUCUCGGAGAGGGACUCGGUGAAAUAGACUUGUCUGUGAAGAUGCGGACUACCUGCACCAGGACAGAAAGACCCUAUGAAGCUUUACUGUAACUUGAAAUUGAAAUUGGACUUUAUUUGCGCAGUAUAGGUGGAAGGCGUUGAAAGUAAUCUUGCGGGAUUAGUGGAGCCAUCAGUGAGAUACCACUCCUAUAAUGUUAGAUUUCUAACUUCGAUCAUGAUCUGGUCAAAGAACAGUUUCAGGCGGGCAGUUUGACUGGGGCGGUCGCCUCCCAAAUGGUAACGGAGGCGUACAAAGGUUUCCUCUGAACGGGUAGAAAUCGUAUCUAGAGUGUAAAGGCAUAAGGAAGCUUGACUGUGAGACCUACAAGUCGAGCAGGGACGAAAGUCGGUCUUAGUGAUCUGACGGUGCUGAGUGGAAAGGCCGUCACUCAACGGAUAAAAGUUACUCUAAGGAUAACAGGCUGAUCUCCCCCAAGAGUUCACAUCGACGGGGAGGUUUGGCACCUCGAUGUCGGCUCAUCGCAUCCUGGGGCGGUAGUACGUCCCAAGGGUUGGGCUGUUCGCCCAUGAAAGCGGUACGCGAGCUGGGUUCAGAACGUCGUGAGACAGUUCGGUCCAUAUCCGGUGUAGGCGUUAGAAUAUUGAGAGGAGCCUUCUUUAGUACGAGAGGACCGAGAAGGACAUACCUCUGGUGUACCAGUUAUCGUGCCAACGGUAAACGCUGGGUAGCUAUGUAUGGAGAGGAUAACCGCUGAAAGCAUCUAAGUGGGAAGCCCACCUCAAGAUGAG
rnacentral:rRNA from 1 species